rnacentral:rRNA from 1 species
GACGAACGCUGGCGGCGUGCCUAACACAUGCAAGUCGAGGGGUGAUUUCGGUCAUCACUGGCGCACGGGUGAGUAACGCGUAGAUCAUCUGCCCCUAUCACUGACAUAACAGUUCUAACGGACUGCUAAUAUCAGAUGAGGUGAGCAAUCAUCAAAGUUUCGACGGAUAGGGAUGAGCCUGCGUCUGAUUAGGUAGUUGGCGGAGUAAUAGCCCACCAAGCCUGCGAUCAGUAGCUGGUCUGAGAGGAUGAUCAGCCACACUGGAACUGAGACACGGCCCAGACUCCUACGGGAGGCAGCAGUGGGGAAUUGUGGACAAUGGGCGGCAAGCCUGAUCCAGCCAUGCCGCGUGAGUGAAGAAGGCCU